rnacentral:rRNA from 1 species
CCGCGGUAAUACGAAGGGGGCUAGCGUUGUUCGGAAUUACUGGGCGUAAAGCGCACGUAGGCGGAUCUUUAAGUUAGGGGUGAAAUCCCGGGGCUCAACCCCGGAACAGCCUCUGAUACUGGAGAUCUUGAGUCCGAGAGAGGUGAGUGGAAUUCCGAGUGUAGAGGUGAAAUUCGUAGAUAUUCGGAGGAACACCAGUGGCGAAGGCGGCUCACUGGCUCGGUACUGACGCUGAGGUGCGAAAGCGUGGGGAGCAAACAGG